rnacentral:rRNA from 1 species
UACGGAGGGUGCAAGCGUUAUCCGGAUUCACUGGGUUUAAAGGGUGCGUAGGUGGGCUUGUAAGUCAGUGGUGAAAUCUCCGUGCUUAACAUGGAACUGCCAUUGAUACUAUGAGUCUUGAAUUUUCUGGAGGUCAGCGGAAUAUGUCAUGUAGCGGUGAAAUGCUUAGAUAUGACAUAGAACACCGAUUGCGAAGGCAGCUGGCUACAGGGAUAUUGACACUGAGGCACGAAAGCGUGGGGAUCAAACAGG